rnacentral:rRNA from 1 species
AGCAGCCGCGGUAAUUCCAGCUCCAAUAGCGUAUAUUAAAGUUGUUGCAGUUAAAAAGCUCGUAGUUGAAUUUCGGGAUCAAGUCGUCGGUCGUGCCUCGGUACGCACUGGUGACAUUGGUUUCUCCCUUCUGAAGAACCUUGAUGUCAUUAAUUUGGUGUCUUGGGGAAUCAGGACUGUUACUUUGAAAAAAUUAGAGUGUUUAAAGCAGGCUCACGCUUGAAUACAUUAGCAUGGAAUAAUGAAAUAGGACGUUUGAUUCUAUUUUGUUGGUUUCUAGGAUCGACGUAAUGAUUAAUAGGGAUAGUUGGGGGCAUUAGUAUUCAAUUGUCAGAGGUGAAAUUCUUGGAUUUAUUGAAGACUAACUACUGCGAAAGCAUUUGCCAAGGAUGUUUUCAUUAAUCAAGAACGAAAGUUAGGGGAUCGAAGACGAUCAGAUACCGUCGUAGUCUUAACCAUAAACUAUGCCGACUAGGGAUCGGAUGAUGUUAAUUUUUUAAUGUACUCAUUCGGCGCCUUA